UACGGGGGGGGGUAAGCGUUGUUCGGAAUUACUGGGCGUAAAGGGCUCGUAGGCGGCCAACUAAGUCAGACGUGAAAUCCCUCAGCUUAACUGGGGAACUGCGUCUGAUACUGGACGGCUCGAGUAUGGGAGAGGGAUGUAGAAUUCCAGGUGUAGCGGUGAAAUGCGUAGAUAUCUGGAGGAAUACCGGUGGCGAAGGCGGCAUCCUGGACCAUAACUGACGCUGAGGCGCGAAAGCUAGGGGAGCAAACGGG
rnacentral:rRNA from 1 species